GCCUGGGUGGCUCAGUCGGUUGAGCGUUCGACUUCGGCUCAGGUCAUGAUCUCGUGGUCUGUGGGUUCGAGCCCCACGUCAGGCU
rnacentral:tRNA from 1 species